rnacentral:rRNA from 1 species
CACGAACCGUACGAACGUUAUUCGGAAUUACUGGGCUUAAAGGGUUUGUAGGCGGCCAUGUAAGUCAGGUGUGAAAUCCCUCGGCUCAACCGAGGAACGGCGCUUGAUACUGCAUGGCUUGAGGGAGACAGGGGGUAAGCGGAACUGAUGGUGGAGCGGUGAAAUGCGUUGAUAUCAUCAGGAACACCGGUGGCGAAAGCGGCUUACUGGGUCUCUUCUGACGCUGAGGAACGAAAGCUAGGGUAGCGAACGGG